UAAUACAUGCAAGUCGAACGGUAACCCUUGGAUUCGUCUGAGGGGGAGAGUGGCGAACUGGUGAGUAACACGUAGGUGACCUGCCUCGAAGACGGGGAUAACCAUCGGAAACGGUGGCUAAUACCCGAUACAUUCGGCAAUUCAGUUUGUCGAGUAAAGCUCCGGCGCUUCGAGAUGGGCCUGCGGCCUAUCAGCUAGUUGGUAGGGUAAUGGCCUACCAAGGCGAAGACGGGUAGGGGGCGUGAGAGCGUGGUCCCCCACACUGGCACUGAGAUACGGGCCAGACUCCUGCGGGAGGCAGCAGUCGGGGAUAUUGCACAAUCAGCGAAAGCUGGAUGCAGCGACGCCGCGUGGGCGAUGAAGGCCUUCGGGUUGUAAAGCCCUUUCAUGGGGGAAGAGAAAAAGGACGGUACCCCAAGAAUAAGUCCCGGCUAACUACGUGCCAGCAGCCGCGGUAAAACGUAGGGGACAAGCGUUAUCCGGAUCUACUGGGCGUAAAGAGCGUUGAGGCGGUUCCGUAAGUUGGGCGUUAAAGCCCCGGGCUCAACUCGGGGAGGUCGUUCAAUACUGCGGAACUUGAGGGCAGCAGAGGGAGGCGGAAUUCCCGGUGUAGCCGGUGAAAUGCGUAGAUAUCGGGAGGAACCACCAGUGGCGAAGGCGGCCUCCUGGGCUGCUCCUGACGCUGAAGGCGAAAGCUAGGGGACCGUACGGGAUUAGAAACCCCGGUAGUCCUUAGCCCGUUAACGAUGGAUGCUGGCUCUGUGGGGUAUAGAUUCCCUCCGUGCCGAAGCUUACGCGUUAAGCAUCCCGCCUGGGGACUACGGCCGCAAGGCUUAAACUCAAACGUAUUGACGGGUCCCCGCACAAGCAGCGGAGCGUGUGGUUUAAUUCGAUGCUACACGAAGAACCUUACCUGGGUUUGACAUGCAAGUAGUAGUGAAGCGUAAGCGGAACGACCCUUCGGGGAGCUUGCACAGGUGCUGCAUGGCUGUCGUCAGCUCGUGCCGUGAGGUGUCGGGUUAAGUCCCGUAACGAGCGCAACCCUUGCCCUUAGUUAUACGUGUCUAAGGGGACUGCCCGGGACAACUGGGAGGAAGGUGGGGAUGACGUCAAGUC
rnacentral:rRNA from 1 species